GUGGUGGUACAGGCCUUUAAUCCCAGCACUUGGGAGGCAGAGGCAGGCGGAUUUCUGAGUUCGAGGCCAGCCUGGUCUACAGAGUGAGUUCUAGGACAGCCAGGGCUGUACAGAGAAACCCUGUCUCAAAAAGACAAAAAAAAAAAAAAAAAAAAAAAACAAAAACAAAAACAAAAAAACAAAAAACAACGAAAUAAACCAGACUGUUAUCACGUGGUUGGAAUGAAAGGAUUUAUGAUGGCGAGCUCAAACCAAGGUUAACAGUAAACCAUCAUUUGAGGUAGGAUGGGUUUUGCCUUAGGUUCCUUCCGUUAUUUCAUAACUCACCCCAUACUGAAAGUGCACCCAAUUACAUGUAGAUAAAGAAUUUCUCAAUAAAACCUUGACAGGUUUCUUAAAAGAAAACUGACAACAGUAUCAAAUACUUUAUCUAUACAAUAGCCCCAAAUAAUACCUUUUUCCACCAGGGCCAACCAUUCUGUGGAUUCCUCACCCCUGGGCCUCAGUAGCCUGCCUAAGACCUGAUAGAGUACUGAUGUUGUACUGUGCUCAGUGCAAUUUUAUUGGCCUGAGGGGAAUUUUCCUGACAUGAGCAGGUGGCUAGCUCUUGUGUGUCAGGCUUGUAUAUUCAUUGUUGUGGGUUAUCUUUUUCCCUCCAGAGUAUGAUGAAAAUGAAUUUAGGUUUAUACAAUGUUUGAAGAAGCACCAGGGAUGAAAUACAUUCUGUGUGAAUGAGAUGGUAAUAAUAAUAAAAUGAGAACGGAAUCAGAGAUGGGUGAAAGAAAUUUAGUUUGAUUUGCAUCAAACAGGCUCAAUAGCGUGAAUGGUUGGUAAAGUUAAAUCUAAUUUCAGAAGUUCUUGAACAUUCUCAUUUCUAACCAGGGCUUUAAUAUCAUUUUAAUGCAGUUUUUUACAUAUGAAUUAAUAUAAUAAAUGUCAAUGUUGAAUAGAAUAAGGUCACAUUUUACUACUUUGACCAGAAGUGUAAUCUUCCAAGAUUCAAUUUUAUUACUAUUAUAACAGUCAUACUGGAUAAGGUCACCAAUAUUUCUUUCCAAGUGAUAUAAUAUAUGACGACAGCCUUUAUACCCACUUUACUUUUUGUAAUUUGUAUUUAUAUUCUGAAACAUGUUGACAAAGAUAUACCAUAGACAUUUCUUGGUCAAAUGGCAGCCUGGGGAAGAUGUAUCCCUAUGAUUUGUGGGAAAUUUGAAACUGUAUAAAUGGAGUCAUUGAAAUGCAACAUUUUCUUGAUCGUAUCAUCCCCUUGCCUACAGAUAAUUAAAUUCUUGUGACGUUUACUCCUUCGACCUGAAAGGGAAAGAAAAUGUGUAAUGAUUUUCUGAUGAGUGAAAUAAAGAAAGACAUUCUAUUGGCUGAGUGUUGGCCAGCCAGGAGUCCGACUUGCAUAGUUCAUUGAGGGACAUUCACUCAAUAAAGUUCAAAGUUCAGGAAUAUCAAAGACAGUAAAGGAUAACCACCAAAUCCAUUUGUUUUGACCUUCUUCUCCAGAAUCUUCACUAAAUAGUCAGUCCCUGCCAGCAAGACACGAAUGGGGACAGGCAGAGCCUACUUCUAGCAUGAGCAGAAGCAUAAAUGAGAUGUAACUGGGACAAGCAUAGGAGUAUUCUGCACCUUGUAAGUGCUCUGUAAACAAACAUUUUUCCUACUGUUCUUCUGGAUAUUCUGUUGGCUGUGGCACUGGGAAAGGAGAUGCUCUCAUUCUCCCAGAACUCACUCUGUUACAAACCUUAUCCUUAUAUUGAGUCCAAAACUACCUCUUUUACUCAGAGAUCAUAACUGUGGCUCCUGUGAUCAAUAGGGACACUACUGAUGGUAACAGUUUCUACUUAAAGCUUAUAGAGGGUUUACUAUGUAUACAAGAACAUUUAGAAUUCAUUUAUACACAUCUCAGCUGUAGUCAAAGUAAAAAAAAAAUAAAAAAUAGUAUGAACAAAGUUUGUUUAAUCAUACUAUAAUCAGUUGCUAUCUAGAUUUUUUUUUCACAGUGAUUUAUUUAUUCACUUCUGGUUUUGCUAAAUUAUAUUUCAUCAGCUUACAAAAAGACUUGGACCGGAACUCUAUACUUAUCAAUAUAUGUCCUUAAAAACAGGAGAGAUUUGAAGUUUCCAAUACAGUAGAUGAUAUGUAGGUAUGGUCUACUUGAAUCUCCUAGAAAUGAACUGAGAAACCCUGAAUAACAGGUAUCAGAAAAGGUGGGUGAUGGCCCCAAAAUGUCUCAUCUAAUAGCAAUUUGGAAUAGGAAUCUGGAGGAAUUGGAAAGAUCUGAGGUGUUACCCACUUUUGUGAGAGUAACUGGUGGGAGCCAGGUUUAAGACACAGCCUCAGAAAAUUAGGGCUAUAUUUUUGGUAACAUAUAUUUUAAAGAGGAAGGAGAAAAGAAAGGGAGAUAAAGGUUAUUAGCAGUAUCAAAAGGAGAAGGAAAGC
rnacentral:lncRNA from 1 species